GGUUAGAGCUAGGGUAAGGGUCAAGGUUAGAGCUAGGGUAAGGGUUAAGGUUAGAGCUAGGGUUAAGGUUAGGGUUAGAGCUAGGGUAAGGGUUAAGGCUAGAGCUAGGGUAAGGGUUAAGGUUAGAGCUAGGGUAAGGGUUAAGGUUAGGGUUAGAGCUAGGGUAAGGGUUAAGGUUAGGGUUAGAGCUAGGGUAAGGGUUAAGGUUAGGGUUAGAGCUAGGGUAAGGGUUAAGGUUAGGGUUAGAGCUAGGGUAAGGGUUAAGGUAAGGGUUAGAGCUAGGGUAAGGGUUAAGGUAAGGGUUAAGGUUAGGGUUAGAGCUAGGGUAAGGGUUAAGGUAAGGGUUAGAGCUAGGGUAAGGGUUAAGGUAAGGGUUAGAGCUAGGGUAAGGGUUAAGAUUGGGGUUAGUAAAUAGUUAGUUGAGAUGUUACUGAUUGUCUGUAGAGAAUCUACAGAUGAUGGACUAUCUAAAUAAAGUGUUACCCAGAUACCUACUCAAUUAUAUGUGAGCUCUUUUAGAGAAAAUUCUGAAAGCUAAUUCCAUAUUCAUAAUUCGUGAA
ensembl:lncRNA